rnacentral:sRNA from 1 species
AGACCUGCCACUGGCCCAGUCGCCCCCUGGGGCCCUUUGCCACUCCCUCGGGAAGAAGAGCCGAGACCUUAGUUCCCGGCAGCCCUUGCGGGACACAGGUGAGUCCUGGCUGCGCGCGCGGCCCCUCCUCCCCGGCGCCUCCCAGAUGGGCAGCAGGAGGCUCCGGAGGUGGCGCCCAGGCUCUGAGCUGCCCUAGGUCUGCAGAGACAUGGCCCAGCCACUGGCCUUCAUCCUCGAUGUCCCUGAGACCCCAGGGGACCAGGGCCAGGACCCCAGCCCCUAUGAUGAAAGCGAAGUGCACGACUCCUUCCAGCAGCUCAUCCAGGAGCAGAGCCGGUGUGCGGCCCAGGAGGGGCUGGAGCUGCAGCAGAGAGAGCGGGAGGCCACAGGAAGUGGCCAGCAGACACUCUGGCGCCCCGAGGGCACCCAGAGCACAGCCACACUCCGCAUCCUGGCCAGCAUGCCCAGCCGCACCAUUGGUGAGUGGGACCCUGGGCCUCGGCCCCGAGUUGACCCCAGUCCCUGGGGCUGGGCUGGGCUUCCCGCCGGGCAUCUCCCUGGGUAGUGGCUGCUCCCAUAGCUCAGAGCCAGGCCCAGGGCGGGCUCCUGGCCCAUCCCGUCUGCUGCCUGGAGGCCCAGCACAGCCCCAUGUGGCCCUCGCUGGGCUCUAAAAAUGACUCUAGAGUCGUCACGGGGUAAAAAUAGGCUUUUGGAAUGCAGUGGUGCCUGAAGUCUUUGUUGAAAGGAUUUUCCUGGGUCCUGGGAAGGGGUGAGGGACUCGGAGGCCUGUGGUGAGCCCAUCCUGAGGGGAGGGAGGCCUG